GACGAACGCUGGCGGCGUGCUUAACACAUGCAAGUCGAACGAAGAGCGAUGGACGCUUGCUUCUAUCAAUCUUAGUGGCGAACGGGUGAGUAACGCGUAAUCAACCUGCCCUUCAGAGGGGGACAACAGUUGGAAACGACUGCUAAUACCGCAUACGAUCUAAUCUCGGCAUCGAGGAUAGAUGAAAGGUGGCCUCUACAUGUAAGCUAUCACUGAAGGAGGGGAUUGCGGCUGAUUAGCUAGUUGGAGGGGUAACGGACCAACAAGGCGAUGAUCAGUAGCCGGACUGAGAGGAUGAACGGCCACAUUGGGACUGAGACACGGCCCAGACUCCUACGGGAGGCAGCAGUGGGGAAUCUUCCGCAAUGGACGAAAGUCUGACGGAGCAACGCCGCGGGAGUGAUGACGGCCUUCGGGUUGUAAAGCUCUGUUAAUCGGGACGAAAGGCCUUCUUGCGAAUAGUGAGAAGGAUUGACGGUACCGGAAUAGAAAGCCACGGCUAACUACGUG
rnacentral:rRNA from 1 species